rnacentral:rRNA from 1 species
AGUGAACGCUGGCGGUAGGCCUAACACAUGCAAGUCGAACGGCAGCACAGUAAGAGCUUGCUCUUACGGGUGGCGAGUGGCGGACGGGUGAGGAAUACAUCGGAAUCUACUUUUUCGUGGGGGAUAACGUGGGAAAACUUCCGCUAAUACCGCAUACUACCAACGGCUGAAAUCAGGGGUUCUUCGCACUUUUGCCGAUUCAUUGAGCCGAUGCCGGAUUAGCUAGUUGGCAGGGUAAGGUCCCACCAAGGCGACGAUCCGUAGCAGAUCUGAGAGGAUGAUCAGCCACACUGGAACUGAGGCACGGUCCAGACUCCUACGGGAGGCAGCAGUGGGGAAUAUUGGACAAUGGGCGCAAGCCUGAUCCAGCCAUACCGCGUGGGUGAAGAAGGCCUUCGGGUUGUAAAGCCCUUUUGUUGGGAAAGAAAAGCAGCAGGUUAAUACCCCGCUGUUCUGACGGUACCCAAAGAAUAAGCACCGGCUAACUUCGUG